rnacentral:rRNA from 1 species
UUGGAGGGCAAGUCUGGUGCCAGCAGCCGCGGUAAUUCCAGCUCCAAUAGCGUAUAUUAAAGUUGUUGCAGUUAAAAAGCUCGUAGUUGAAUUUCGGGAUUUAUCCGUCGGUCGGGCUUUUGGGUCUGUACUGGCGUGAUGGAUUCCUACCUUCUGAAUAACCGGCAUGUCAUUAAUUUGGUGCGCUGGGGAAGCAGGACUGUUACCUUGAAAAAAUUAGAGUGCUUAAAGCAGGCUAUUGCCUGAAUACAUUAGCAUGGAAUAAUGAAAUAGGACGGCAUGGUUCUAUUUUGUUGGUUUCUAGGAUCACCGUAAUGAUUAAUAGGGAUAGUUGGGGGCAUUAGUAUUCAAUUGUCAGAGGUGAAAUUCUUGGAUUUAUUGAAGACUAACUUCUGCGAAAGCAUUUGCCAAGGAUGUUUUCAUUAAUCAAGAACGAAAGUUAGGGGAUCGAAGACGAUCAGAUACCGUCGUAGUCUUAACCAUAAACUAUGCCGACUAGGGAUCGGACGAUGUUAAUUUUUUAAUGACUCGUUCGGCGCCUUACGGGAAAC